rnacentral:rRNA from 1 species
UACGUAGGGGGCAAGCGUUGUCCGGAUUUACUGGGCGUAAAGAGCGUGUAGGCGGCCAAGCAGGUCCGUUGUGAAAACUGGAGGCUUAACCUCCAGACGUCGACGGAAACCGCGUGGCUAGAGUCCGGAAGAGGAGAGUGGAAUCCUGGUGUAGCGGUGAAAUGCGCAGAUAUCAGGAAGAACACCAAUGGCGAAGGCAGCUCUCUGGGACGGUACUGA